rfam:Triticum aestivum genome assembly, contig: Triticum_aestivum_CS42_TGACv1_scaffold_000001_1AL
ACUCAGUUGGUAGAGCACAAGGCUCUUAACCUUAUGGUCGUGGGUUCAAGCCCCAU